GGGGCGGAGCUACUUGUUUAGUGGAGACCAUGGGCGCGGCGCUUGCACUUCACCACCUCAGCCAGUCCUCUGCGGCAGCCUGUGGUUGUUUCUCAUGGUGUGUCGGAUAUCCUUAGCAGCGGAGGAAGACAUGCAGAUUCUCCCCGGCGCGUGGGUCACCGGAGACAUGUAAUAGUGCAACACCAUAACAUCAGAUACAACACAUCACACGCAGAAUUGGCAACUUAACUUCCGUGUUGCGGAUUCUAGUAAUGGAACGAGGCACCGAGGACUGCGAGGUUAACGCAACGCGAGAGGAAGGACGUGGACGCUAGACGCAAACCAAUAACACCACGAGGAGUCUCCGUCCAUGAUAUCCUUCCUUUUACUCCCUUCUUAUUUGUCCUCCCUUCUCGACCGAUCCUCCCAUUCCCUUUCUUCCUUUGCCUCUGCAGCUGACUCUAAAGCCACGGCGGGUUUCUCAAGGAAAACACACUAGGGCACCACGAAAACAUAACUAAAUUUCAUUGCCAGAAGCUCCCCGCAGAGAACACCGCAGGAGGCAGAUGGCAAGUAUUGCUCCGUUUUCCUGACAAACACGCGUUACCCGUUUCAGGGAUCUCGUUGCCAGCCCCGCGGAAUCCCUGAUGUUGGGGGACGGCGGUGAUAGCGUCGCCUUGCCAGUGAAUUGCAGGAUAUUGGUGUGAGUCUGCAGCCGACCUCGCCGUUCAUCACCGCAGAGCAAGGAUCGUUCGUGCCACUCGCCGUCGUGACCAUAUGCACGUACCGGACCCUUGAUGAAAAAGCCCGGUUCCUUUGUCCGUUGGCUACAGGAAAUAAGAAGGUUUAGGUAUCACAGCAUUCCAGAGAAGUAAUAUGUAUCCUCAGUGAUUUUAUGAAGAAUUCAAGGUACUUUUGACCCCAUAAACGAGAGGAAAAAAGAAGGAAACAAGAACGAGGUUACAAGGAAGGCUGAUGACGCUCAUACACGCAAGCAAGAUCCUCACCCGCCCUGUGGCAAAGUGCAGUAAAGGAAAAACACCCCAGAAUUCCAAUAUCUAGCCGCAGUGAAUGUGCAUAGGGCAAGAAGUAAACACAUGAUCAUUGCACGCAUUGCACAUGAGACGCAACACACGUAGCGCCGCGCCAUCACACUCUCCGCGGCUAUGCACCAGCACGUAUGAAACACAAGACAAUGAAAAACAAAACAAAAAAAUAAAUAAAUAAAGCAAGGAAAUAAAAGAUAAUAACAAAACAUAAAACCUUAAAUGAAAUACAAUUCAGGCGAGGGAAGGAACUCGAUAGGAAACAAGGACCAGCUGCUUCUCCUCUUGGCGUCUGCAGCUGAUCAAGGAAGGAGGGAUUAUCACCACUGUAAAUUCCUCGCAGACGUAUGUUCCUAGAAGGAUGGCCGAGGAAACGCCGGGAACCAGAUUGCAGGGGCGGGCUGGUGCGGGGCUGGACGGGGUGGCUGGAGGCGCCUGCGAGGAUCGGCGAGGGUCUUGCAGGACAUACGAUGGUCCGCCAAGACGGGAAUUGCCUGGAGUCGAGGAAGAGGCGACUGUAUAGUAGCACUGACCCACGAGGAAGAGGCGGGCGUAGCGGCAUCCAUUUUUGCCGCCAUUAAGUGACAGGGUAAUGACAACUUACUGCUGCAGCGGAGAGACACGAGGGACACCUGCAGGAGGAGCGAGGAGGGGAAGAAAGUGUUACGCAUUGUUGUAAACCAGACGUGAGGCACGGGGAGCAAAAACAGUCAGAAGUGAGAAUGUUGGAGAUGAUAAGCUCAAGACAAGUAGGCAGCAGCAGCGGCUCGAUGGAAGGGAACGAUGAGAACCCAGAGCGUGAUGGACGUGACUCGGCGGGCGGGAUGCUGUUCGGAAUGAGAAAAAGAGCGAAGGAAAGAGGUCACUGGGAACUGAAAGAGGCUCUAAAGUCCAAAUUACUGGUGCGAAGGCCAUGAGCUUGGGAUGACUUCUGCACUGCUGGGAUCUAGAGGCUGCAAUAAAGUUCCGUUUCGUUAGAAGAGCACAAUGGGAACUCGUUAGGAAGUUCAUGCUCAAGACGUGGUGGAAGAAGUGAAGAGCGCGAGGCAUCACGUCCCCGGAGGCACAUUAAGCUUGGUUCUUCAGCCUCGACUCUCAUCUUAGGAGUAAAAUAAAAUCAGGUUGCUAAAGAACAACAAUGCUAGGUAAAGACGAUGUGGUGAGGGGAGAAGUAGCAGUAAUGUCAUGUAAGAAAGGAGCUUGAGGAGAUAGUGGUUGCCGUGGGUGAUGGUGAUUGGUGUUGCUGUUUAUAAAGUUGGUGGUUUUCUUUUUUGUGGUGGUGGUGGUGGUGAUGAGACUGGUGAUUGGAACGCCGCCGCCGAGAUGAAGGCCACACAAACUUAAUUCCUGUCGGACUGCCAAGUAAAUUGUGGCUGGAAUUGCAGGUAACGACAUUACCGGAAAAAGUUAGCGUUGUGCCUCCGCCGCGCCCUAACUAGUGGAUGCCAGCAGUUUGUGUCUUGCGCUGGAACGUGAUGAGGCGCCGCCAACAGUGCCAUCACCACCACCACCACCAUCACCACCACCACCACCACCACCACCACCACCACUUCUCCUCCUCCUCCUCCUCCUUUCCCUGGGGUGUCUUAUACGUGUCUGAAGGAGAGUAAUUAUUAUUAGUUUUUAUUGUUUAGAGUUUAUGAAGGUCCGUGUAAUUGAGUGUGUGUGUGGGGAAGGGUUUAUUGAGAGAGAGAGAGAGAGAGAGAGAGAGAGAGAGAGAGAGAGAGAGAGAGAGAGAGAGAGAGAGAGAGAAACUGUAAUUUAGUGAGUGUCUUAAGGUAAUACUCAACAACAAUUUUAAGAGACACUUGAGAAACGAUUCCCACCGCUUUAAAAACACCCAUUCGCAGUGCAGUGGUGUGGGUGGACCGCUCGCUUCAAUAUUCACCCACAGGAAGUGCUGGGUAACGUAAACUGCACCGCCACUAAUGUUAUAAUGAACACUUCUCGUCUGAAUCAGAAGAGAGACAUACAAAUUCCUAUUUACGCCGGACGAACGACACACACCUUUAGCAUCAGGUUACAGAAGGUGCAGGGAUGAGCCUCUUGAAGGUGGAGGUGGGUGGCUGUCUGCAACGCUGCACAAGAGAGGCGCAGGUAAACACGAUGUAAUCACCUUCAUGAGAGGCAGUCUGGGCCAAGCUUGGUACCACACAGGAAUGGUAAAGUUAGCAUUUCCACACACAAACACUCGCCGGUGCUAGUGCAGUAAUUAUAUAUAUAAGUGGAAUAUGCGUGAUGGUUAAAGUGAAAUGAUAAUGUAAAAUGUUGGAAGGACGGUGAGAGAGAGAGAGAGAGAGAGAGAGAGAGAGAGAGAGAGAGAGAGAGAGAGAGAGAGAGAGAUGGACACACACACACACACACACACACACACACGCAAGAAACAACAAAGGUGAAUUGAUCAAAAUAAAAUCAAACGUAACAACAACAAACAAACAAACAAGUCUCCAAGGAUACCAGUACAACUUUUGCCUGAAACUCUAAAGAUAAAGAUUAAGACAAUUCCUGGAUGCACAGCAGAAUCCUUCCUCACAAAAGACAGAAAAAACAACAAAACUCUGAUUUUUCUUCUUGGGAAUCUAACCCUUGCACCUUUUCCUCCUCCUCCUCUUCUCCUCCUCCUCCUCCUCCUCCUCCUCCUCCUCCUCCUGACCGCGCCCAUGAUUGUUCUGUGGGUCAAGAUGAGUUCCCUUCACACAACCAUUUCUUUUCUUCCUUUCCCUCCCUCCCGAUCAUUCCCAUUCUUUCCUCCUCUUUCUCCUCCUCCUCUUUCUCUGCCUCCCUCUCUCCCUCUCUCUCCCUUUCUCUCUGCAAGACAGAAAAAGAAUGAAACUGAACUGAGUCAGAGAGAGAGAGAGAGAAUUAAAAUAUAUAAGGUCUUAGAGGAGAGAGACCACCAAGAGUGAGGAGAAAAUGGUACAAAAGUUGGCAUAAAAGGAAGAGAGAGAGAACAAUGAAGUACGGGAGAAAGAGAAUGCAAGGACAAGAUGUAAGGUCAGACGAGGGGCGCGUGUCAGGUUAUGAGGAAGUAGCAAAGGGAAAUAUAUACGGAAACUGAAACCGAGAAAUAGAGAAAUAACGUGGGAAAGAAAAUGGAAAUGCUUGUGAAAACUUGGCAUUCCUUGCCGCUGUAGAUGAAGAAAAAAAGGUUUCACUUUCGACUUGAUUUCGGAAUAAGGGGAAAAAAGAAAAUUCUGAAGAACAUGAAACCUUCACACACACUAUCCUGUGCUUUUCUCCUUCCUCUUCAUUUUUCGCCUGAAAUUUCCACUGUGUCAUCUUUUAAUCCUUUUCAUUCACUUUCCGUACGAUACCUUCCUUUUGUAUAUAUUCAAUUUUUUCCCCGUUGGGUCCGUCACGCUCCCAAUCAGCCCUCAGUCAGCCUUGAGAGCCGCAUAGUUCUCUUAAGUUGCACUCUGAUUGAAGAAAAGGGAGUUUAAGGAGGGCGAGAAGCGUUGUCUCAUCGCUCCUGACGCAGGAGAGGCAAGGAGAUGGCGAAGCGGACGAGGUUUGCAGUGAGGAAAGAGGAUUUUGUAAGAAAGCCAAGCGGAGUGACCUUGAGGGGUAGAAAUUAAGUGGAGGUGCCAGGGACUAGAGGAAGGAGGGAACUGCAAUGGAGGUUUUAGCUGCGUGGUUGACUGUAGAUGGGGAAGCGUGUCUGAGGCAAGAUUGAAAUGGGGAUGUGUGAAGCAGUGAUGUUGCGUGAAGGGUAAAAAUAAUUGGCUAUUGCGAGAAGGUGUGGCGGAGAGGUGAAGGGCGUGAGUGUCAAGAGCUUCUGUGUCGUUAUAAGAAUUUAACAAUUUGAACAGAAUGCCGGGAGGUUUUGAAAUGUUUCCUAGAACAUAUAAUGAUGGAAAACGAAAGCGAGAUAACGCAGGAAAGCUGCAGUGAAAGGAAGGGAUGUGGAGAGAUGAAAUAUGGAAAAGGGAAAUUGUGGCGAUGAAGUUAGCGGAGAAAGGAGAGAGAAUAUUAUAGUUUCCUGAAACAACUGAACUGCUCUUCACUGGAAACAGUCCUAGGCAAAGCAGGAUGUAAUUCUUGUUUAUAAACUUUUGUAGACUAUCUUGCUCCGCUCAAUGUAGAUAAAUUCCUCCAUUACUGUGAUAGACAAAAUCGCGAUAAGAAUAAAAGUAAAAAGCAGGCCAACGGGGAUGCGGCAAGGAGAGAAGCAUCUAUUCAGAAAGUUCUGAAGAGCAAUAAUCACGAAGAUAGCGGUAAGGAGAGGAAGAGAUGUAAUACUGAAGUGAACCUCAAAAGAUUGAAGGCGGUCAUUUUACACAGGGCAGUUGCUAGGACGAACACCCCUUGAGUCAGCUGUGCUUGGAGGUGCUGCAGGAGUGGGAUUUUCUAAACACACGGAAGACACACUUGGAUGAAUAAACUCCCCUGAUAUGGUCAUCUGGGAGCGGAAGAAAAAAAAAUAAGGUUUAAGUUAUGAAGGAAACCCAUCUUCUCUGCAGAUUCAAAGGAAAUUUUUACGACCUGUAGCAGCUCUCCAGACGUGUCGUUGCUCCUGAUGGGUGGGUCCUAUCAAAUAAAGCUUAGAAAUGUGGAAUGAUUAGCGUGGAUAGAAGGCUUUCAUAAGUUACCAAUAAUGGAAAGUAAACUUCCUGUAUUGCUUCAAGUGGUAGGGUUAGAACACUACUGACGGUCUACACCAGUGACAGAACUGAAGCAGGGAUUGGAUGGGAACUUGAGACGAGGGUACACAGAGAGGCGCGCAAUCUGUAGAAUAGUUUGGAAAUUGUAGACUGUAUCCAAUUCUAUCAAAGUCCUUGAGAGCGUCUCGCUUGUAGCCCCACCCCCACCCACACCCUAAAAAAAAAAUAAAGGUUGGCAAUACUCAGCAAAGAAAAAAAGUCAUUGAUAUACCUCUUUUUUAUAGAGUUUCAUCCAAUAAUCAAUAUGAAAACCGUCAGUCGAUAGAUAACAAAAAAAAAAAAAUCGGCACCUGAAAAGAAUUACAGACAGGAAGGAAAUAAUCUGAGUGUUAUGAACCGACCCAUAUUUUUAACGAUGAAGAAAGAGUCUGGCUGAAAUCCAGAAAGAACAGAAUAAAGAAUGUAAAAAAAAAAGGUAAGAAAUCUCAUAAAACCAAUACCCAGUUCACGUCCAGAUUCAUUCUCAGGUUUAUGGUGCGAAAUAAAACUGGGUUACGGAGAAAGGGAGGAAGGGAGGCAGAGAAAUGUGUGUUACAGGCAACCUCUCCUGACGCGAUUGUGAAAGCAGCGUGGCAAAGACAGAAACAAGGCGCCCUAGCAUGCCUAACUCUGGGGUGUUGUCAUGCAGGCACUGAACAUGAAAAGGAGAGCUGCGUUAACCCUUUAGACACCUCACUACUCUCCCUGGCCUCUCCCAUUCCUCUCCCACCCAUUCUCCUCCUCUCGCACACUUCUCUUUCCGCUCUCCGUCCUACUUAACCCUCCUCUUCCUCAUCUUUUCUUCUCCAUACCCCUCACCCUUUCCCUUGUUUUUUUUUUUCCCCGAACCUUCCCCUCCCCCUUUUUUUCUCCUAUCUUCCUCAUCCUGCAUCCCCUGUUUCCCCCUCUUCCCACACCUCCCUUUUAUCGAGAGGUCUUCCCCCCUAAUUUUUUUCCUUCUCCCUCUUCUUUUCUAUCUCCCUCAUCCUGCACCUCCCCUUACCCUCUCUUCCCACACCUCCCUUUUCUCAGGCGCACGUUCCUGCCAUCCGGGAAGUAAGGGCAAAAUAAGAGCAGUUUAGGCCCGUCGUUCCAAUACCACUGCCUCUAACUCAACCGCUUUG